GACGAACCGUGCAAACGUUACUCGGAUUCACUGGGCUUAAAGGGCGCGUAGGCGGCUCGCCAAGUCUGGGGUGAAAUCUUUCGGCUCAACCGGAAAAUUGCCUGGGAUACUGGCGGGCUCGAGGGAGGUAGGGGUCACGGGAACUUCCAGUGGAGCGGUGAAAUGCGUUGAUAUUGGAAGGAACGCCGGUGGCGAAAGCGCGUGACUGGAUCUCUUCUGACGCUGAGGCGCGAAAGCCAGGGGAGCAAACGGG
rnacentral:rRNA from 1 species